rnacentral:tRNA from 1 species
GGGGCUGUAGCUCAGCUGGCUAGAGCACCUGCUUUGCAAGCAGGGGGUCACGAGUUCGAAUCUCGUCAGCUCCA